ensembl:lncRNA
AUUUUAAUGAAUGUUUGAAAGAAAGCUAAGGCAGGUGUCAAAAUUUUCACUGAAUACAACAACUGAAAUUUCACUCUGUUCCCAAACUGCAAUACUUGAAUGCACAUUACACUUUUUUAUGAUACCUUAUGGUGUCUUUGUGUCUUUUUCUUUAAAGCUUCAGUCCUUAUUUAUUGUAAUGGCAUAAAAACAUAUGACAAGCACAUUAUUCACAAUUUCUCCUUUUGAAUUUAUGGGUAAACUAGUCUGCCUCCAUGUUUCUUAGGGUAGAAUGUAGACUGAGAUGAAGAUCUACUGUGGUGGACAUUUUUUAGGGAACAUGUUUGGAUGACCAUGACUUGCUGGACUAGCUGACCUCAUCUUGCCAUCUUUUUGUCCUUGGACAGAGAGAUCAUCUUCGUACCGAGUCUAUUUCCUCUUUCUGUGAUCUUUCCAUUGCCACCUGUGUGCCAUAUUCCCUGUCUAUCCAUCUCUUCCUCUAGCUCUUCUCCUCAAUCCCCUCAUCCCUCUCUCCCUCUCUCUCUCUCCGCUGCCCAAGGCAAUGCUGUCCUGCAGGCUUUGAUCAUAGGGCCAGGGAGGAAAUGGGAAGUGGGUCAGAAAGUUGUGCUGGAGACUGCAGGGAAACAAGGCUGGAAUAUCGAGUAGGUAAGCAGGGAGAAAGAGAGAGAGAGAGAGAGAGAGAGAGAGAGAGCGCGAGGGGACCAGGAACGUGGACUGAGCGGAGGGGAGGGUCACCGGUUCGGGUGUCCGGACGGAGGAGGAGAGAAAUAUCUGCCUCCAAAACAGCUGGACAUGCACAUCAGGUGAGUCCCCUUGUACAGGGAAACACAACUUCCUCUUGUUCUAGUCGAUAUUGA